CAAACAAGACAAAUCGACUAAUUUGAUGUUUCAAGUCUCAGAUGAUCGACAAAGCUAUCUCCUUAAGACAAAAUUAGCCAUUUAAAAUGGAAAGUUAGACGGAGAGUCCAGAAAACUCAGGCAAGAAAAAGGUCUACCAUCUAAUCAAAUAAAAUACGAUCCUCCAUUCACGUUGGGAGA